UGGCGGACGGGUGAGUAACGCGUGGGCAACCUGCCCUGUACCGGGGGAUAACAGCCGGAAACGGCUGCUAAUACCGCAUAAGCGCACGAGAGCGCAUGCUUUUGUGUGAAAAACUCCGGUGGUACGGGAUGGGCCCGCGUCUGAUUAGCUUGUUGGCGGGGUAGAAGCCCACCAAGGCGACGAUCAGUAGCCGACCUGAGAGGGUGACCGGCCACAUUGGGACUGAGACACGGCCCAAACUCCUACGGAAGGCAGCAG
rnacentral:rRNA from 1 species